rnacentral:rRNA from 1 species
CCGAUAGCGUAUAUUAAAGUUGUUGCAGUUAAAAAGCUCGUAGUUGAAUUUCGGGGUUAGUAGAUUGGUCGUGCCACUGGUAUGUACUGGUCUUACUGAUUCCUCCUUCCUGAUGAACCGUAAUGCCAUUAAUUUGGUGUUGCGGGGAGACUGGACUGUUACUUUGAAAAAAUUAGAGUGUUUAAAGCAGGCUAACGCUUGAAUACAUUAGCAUGGAAUAAUGAAAUAGGACGUUCGAUCCUAUUUUGUUGGUUUCUAGGAUUGACGUAAUGAUUAAUAGGGAUAGUUGGGGGCAUUAGUAUUCAAUUGUCAGAGGUGAAAUUCUUGGAUUUAUUGAAGACUAACUACUGCGAAAGCAUUUGCCAAGGAUGUUUUCAUUAAUCAAGAACGAAAGUUAGGGGAUCGAAGACGAUCAGAUACCGUCGUAGUCUUAACCAUAAACUAUGCCGACUAGGGAUCGGAUGAUGUUAAUUUUUUAAUGACUCAUUCGGCGCCUUACG